UACGUAGGGGGCAAGCGUUGCUCGGAAUCACUGGGCGUAAAGCGCACGUAGGCGGAUUGUUAAGUCAGGGGUGAAAUCCUGGAGCUCAACUCCAGAACUGCCUUUGAUACUGGCGAUCUCGAGUCCGGGAGAGGUGAGUGGAACUGCGAGUGUAGAGGUGAAAUUCGUAGAUAUUCGCAAGAACACCAGUGGCGAAGGCGGCUCACUGGCCCGGUACUGACGCUGAGGUGCGAAAGCGUGGGGAGCAAACAGGG
rnacentral:rRNA from 1 species